rnacentral:sRNA from 1 species
AAAUUGCAACGAAAUUAUAUAAUUUGUAUAAAUUUUAUUGGACCCAAUAUAAAUUUGACCCUUGUUAUAAAAGAACUGCAACUCACCGUCGCCAUAUUUAAAUGGAAGAUUCUCGCGCAUUCCGCUUUCGCCUCUGUAAUUCUUUCCUCCGUUUGCACUUUAAUAUUAAACGCAUAUGCGUUUUUAAACGAGGAUAUUGUAAAAUCCGGUAUAAUUACCUUACAAAUAAAUAAAAUCACUUAAUUCUUGGCGUUUUCAAACUGCUAAAUUCAAAAGUUUAAUAUCACGCAAAUUUUAAAGCUCGAUGCGCUGGAACGGCGUUUCCCGCAGCAAAAAAGUCUUUUAGACGGUAUAAAACCCGGAGCUCGUAUUUCCAGCAUUUUAAACAAUUUCCAAAGUGCAGCAGGAACAGUUGCUAUAUCGGUCCCAGAAAUUAUUAAGAAUAUACCCAAAAUUAUCAGCUAAGCGCCCCAGUUUAUUUCGGAACUAAUUCCCAAAAAUUGCUCCCUGGGGACCGGAAAAUUCUAUAUUCAAAUCGGUAAUAAAAACUUAUAUAACGCCCUGCCUUUUAACCUUUUUAUUUUCAUCGAGCCGGAAAUUGUAAAAAUGUUAAAACAGCAUUUUUAAAAUAUUAAAAAUGUCGACGCUAUUUUUACGCAAAUUAUAACGCCAUAUUUCCGCCAUACCCUUAUAACCGGUAUAAUAUUAAUUAAUAUCGCUAUUCUCCUUAUCGUUAUGUCGGCUUAUGGCCGUUUUGCCUGGUUUAAAAAAUCGAAGGAGAUUUUAUUUUUACCGAAACCCAUUAUUUUUAUAUUAAGGCUGUUUAUUGGACUACUGUUUUGCGUUCCGUAUAUAAUCCCCACCUUGAUAUUUUCUAUAGUCCGGUCCAAAUUCGAUAAAUUGCCACCAUGGAUCGAGGUUAAAAAUGGUAACGUGUUCGAAUUUCUAAUAGGAUAUAUAUAUUGUGCAUUGUUUGGGGCAGUUAUAAGCAAUGUUAUAUACGUUUUCGCAGAGGUUUUCUAAGGCCAAACUUUAAUUUAAUUGUGGCCCUUGGGUACAUUUUAUAAACGUCUGUUUUGUAACGUAGUUUAAAAAUUGUAUUUCUAAUAUAAAAUUUUUACUCCUCGUAGUCUUUAUCCACCGGGAUUAGCAGUAAUAUAUUUUGUUUAUUCCAAUUUUGGUUUUAAAUCUUAGAAACGAAAAAAAAACUAUAAUUUUCAAACAAUAUAAAUUUUGCGUUAUGCAAUUCUGUGCACGACGUGCGCACUUGCCAUUCAGCAACUAUUUGCAAUAUAUUUAACAAUCCCGCAUUAGCAUAUAAUAUAUAAGGCUAAUAUACCUUUACAGCUCCUGCCCUUGCUAAAUCUUUAAAUUAUACAAAAUCCACAGCUAAUUUUUUUUUUAUUAUAGUUAAAUUUAAGGCGACCCUUUUACACAAACAUUUUUCGUUCAGGCUAUUAAAGUUUGUAGAGGCUCGUCGAAAAAUGGACGGUACCACGGGUAAUUGCAAUUGGCCUUUGCUCCAUAUUUAUAAAUAUAAUCGACGUCGUCCGCCCAGCUGCUCUUGUCCAAAUUGCCAAAUAACCCGGUAUUUUGAGGAACAAUUGGGUAACGAACCACAGGUUAUAAACCAUCCAAUUGUCCAAACGUUUCUAAAUCCAUAUUAAAUGGUUGCAAUAAAAUUUUACCUGUUAGGGGAAAUUUAAAAGUUGUAUUUUUUUUUAAAACAAAGUUUUUUGGGAGGUAACCUCCCCCAAAUUGCGGCGGGGCAGUUUCCUUUAAAACCUGUAACGUUAUAUUACAAUCCCGUAAUUUUACCCCUGUAAUGGUGGUAGGCUCCCCGUUAAAUAAAUAUGGUAUUAACGGUGGUAGAAAUGCUUUUAUUUCCGUCGGUGGGUAGGGGGUGGGUGUCGCGACGGCUUCCCUGGACCCAAUGGACGUUACUAAUAUUAUCCCGGUCGUUAUAAUUGCUAAAAACGCUGCUAUAUUUUUAAUAUUUUCCGCGAGGUGUGAAAACUGCUUAUAUAAAAAGGCUGUUUAACUAACGAAUUUAAUUUAUAAUUAACGAACCACCUAAUGGUAAUAAUAUGCGCAAUGGAACGUUUGAAUUAUAAUAUCUUUUUUUACCUUUUCCAAACCUGGUACGUUUUCCUUUUCUAAAUGUUUCAAAUGUUGAAAAUUGAACGGCGCAGAAAUUCGGUUUUUUGUUUUCCUUUUUCUUUCUCGACUAUUUUUUUUUCGGUUAAAUAACGAUAUAAAAAUACGCAUAAUUGUUAUAUUAACAAUUGCGACUGGUAGCAAUAUAUAUUGCGAUUAAAAUAGCCGUAACAAUAUAUUUAAUUCGGUGAAAAGUUGUUAAAAUUGGAUAUUAUCCAGCCGAGAUUUAUGCGGGCAUUAAUUAUUUAUAUUUUUAUCCCCGGCGUAAAUGGAUAUUUGGACCCGUUUAAUUUCCCAAUUUUUAUUCUCAUUUGUAA